rnacentral:rRNA from 1 species
GACGAACGCUGGCGGCGUGCUUAACACAUGCAAGUCGAACGCUGAAGCUCAGCUUUUGUUGGGUGGAUGAGUGGCGAACGGGUGAGUAACACGUGAGUAACCUGCCCCCUUCUUUGGGAUAACGCCCGGAAACGGGUGCUAAUACUGGAUAUUCACUGGUCUUCGCAUGGGGGUUGGUGGAAAGGGUUUUUCUGGUGGGGGAUGGGCUCGCGGCCUAUCAGCUUGUUGGUGGGGUGAUGGCCUACCAAGGCUUUGACGGGUAGCCGGCCUGAGAGGGUGACCGGUCACAUUGGGACUGAGAUACGGCCCAGACUACUACGGGGGGCAGCAGUGGGGACUAUUGCACAAUGGGCGCAAGCCUGAUGCAGCGACGCCGCGUGAGGGAUGGGGGCCUUCGGGUUGUGAACCUCUUUCGCUAAUGGUCAAGCCGCAACAAUGGUUGUGGUGAGGGUAGUGGGUAAAGAAGCGCCGGCUAACUACGUG